ensembl:lncRNA
GCAGAGUGUCUUCUCGGACUGAUGAGCAUCACUCUCUGAGGUGAAUCAUGUGACAUGCACACUGGCUUCCAGGUCAAGAUGGAGAAUGACUAUUUAAAGAGAAAAACAAAAGCCUUGUUGGAAUGAUAUUUAUUUUCCUACUAUAUUAUUUAAUGUUUUUAUUUUUAUUUUAAUGCAUUAUUGUAGUUUUAACUAAUUUACAGAUUUAAAGAGCAGUUCAGUCAUGGCUCCUAUUUGAACAUGAGCUCUAUGCCAAAAAGAAGUGAGCUGACACUCUGGUGACUGAAUGGGACCCAUGUCAUGACUCUGUGCUGGCCAUAGGGGAACAAGGUUGGUCAUUCAGGUCAGGUGAUCUACUUCGCGGAGGUUACACGGGACCACAGCAAAACAUUAGCUUAGUUUUUUGACACAGUUUCUGGUUGUCGGUGCAGCUGCUAGAUGCUCACGUGUGGUGCUGGGGAGUCGUGCACGUUAUUGAAUCUAAACCAGGUAAAACAAACAUCAGCACCGGGGGGCCUGUUAGGGAAGCUUCUCGAUGGUUCUACACUUGCUUGCAGUGCUUUUCUUUGCGCGGAAUGAAGGUGAGGCAUAAAUUUAACAAAUAUAUGACACAUAAUCCGAGACAUAACCUUUGAUUUAGGUUGAGCCACAUCUCUCACAGCAAAACUUUUGAUCUAUUUUUGCUAAGACUGGCCUUGUAUUUAGCUAGAGUUAAUGAUUCGAUGGGUAGCAAGGCGAAAUAUAAACAUAGGCAGCGUUUAUGUAAUAGCGUAAUGAUUUUGGGUUACUUUGGACGCUCAUGCUUUAGGCUGUAGCCAAGCAGUCGUGCAUCCGUUAAGUGAUUAUCUUUCAAAAACAAAUUUCACAGCUUUGAGAGACCAAGACAAUCAUCCCAAACCAGUGCACGAUCAUAGAGCCACAGUCACUAAGAAGGGUCUUGAUGCUGGUGUUUGCUUUUAUAGAUAGAUGGUGGAACUUCAAUAGGAUAAUCCAUGGCUUAGUUUAGAGAAUAAAAGUAUGUUGAGUAAGUGAGUAAAUAUUUGUGCACAUUGAAAAUGCAGUAUGGAGGUUUGAAGUUUGAACUAAGAAUGGGUUGAGUUCACUACUAUACAGGUUUAUUUAGCAACUAUCCCAUUUUUAAUCUUAAACCUCGCAAUUCGGUCGUCUUGAAAUUCUUUUACUCCCAAGUCGUGAGAAGUAAUUGCCUUACGUUUGACUUCAGUCAAUAGAAAAUGAGCUGGACCCAGUCCUGUUUAAAAAAAAAAUGCAGAGGAUUACUAGUGAACUGAGUGACGCUCAGACCAGAAAAAGAGAUGUUUUAUUUUUCAGUGUCAAUUUAAUAGCUAUGUUAAAAUUCCAAACUAUGCAAUAGUCACACACAAAGGAUUCACAGCAACACAGAAAUUGACCUUUAUUUCAUUCAGUGCCAGCUGAUGCUGUGUGAAUCAAGCAGCAGCAUGUGUGCUCUCAUACUGCACUCACAGUGUGAAGGCGAUGCUCCUCUAUAAUGCUUUAUGGUUCUGUGUUUUACUUCUUUCAGAUUUUAUUUUACACUCGCAUUCGUUUUGUUCUGUGAAUCGUUUCUUUUGUGUCGUGUGGUGCAAAUGGACAGCUGUUCUGAAGGAAUCUCUUAGGAAGUUAAGAGCUAUAGUCACACUGUAGUAUAUCCUAGCUUAUAUUUUCUGUUAAAUAUGCACUUUGCAUCUUAACCACUAUAAAGGGCAUUGAAACAUUCAGUACAUGUGCAACUGAGACAUAUUUUAUUUACGCAGCGAAUGGAGAUAAGUAGGAAUAUUUUGCAUCCUGAAGGGUCAGGGCUUCUUCAUGUGCUAUUGAUACAUAUGUCUAUAUCUUUGUUGUCCAUGGGUAAAUCCAAAACCCAACAGCUGCUGCUAAACUGUUACUAGCCUGAUCGAUGCUGUCUGGAUGCCCCUCCACUCUGGCCGCUCUGAUCUGUCAACGUGCAGUGAGCUCAGCAUCGGUCCAUAUUUGCAUUUAAACACACAUUAAUGUCUAUCCAUGUCUUCAUAUUUAUCUCCUAUGAACAUUCUCCAUGUCAAAUAUAUUUGGCACGGGCAAAUUGACUGUUUCCUCACCAAGUAAAAUGUAUUGGUACUUUUAGAGAAUGUACCUGUAUACUGAAUGUCUCGUUCGACAAGGACAUGACCGAGAUAGAUGACCGGUGAAGGUUAUUUGGGGGAAAAACAAACAACAACAACAAAAAAGAGAAGAAAAGCUUUUAUUUUCUUUCUGUUUCAGAUUUGAAUUCAGGUAUAGGGCGCUUAAGGUGGUACUGGAAUAUUGUUCAAUUGACCCAUGGUGAGUUUUGUGAAACUGUUUCUGUCAGUGCUAGAGACAAAAAUCUCCCUGACCUCUGGCACUUCGUGGUACUCUUUCCUCUCAAGACUUGAAAUGCAUAAAUAAAUGUUGUUGUGCUUAAACGAAAUCGAAAUGCUUCAGUGACUAGUAAAGUUUAUUUUGUAUUCAUAUAUAUAUAUAUAUAUAUAUAUAUAUAUAUGAAUACGACACUUAUUUUAAUAUCAGAUUCAAAAAGUUAUUGCUAAUUUAGGGAAUUACUGAAGUUCCUGAUACAGAUGCUAUGUAACGCAUGAUUGACCCUUGUGAAUCACUUGCACUUUAAAAUAUACCCAUAUACAUAUAUGCCCAUACUGUGUAUAUGUUUGGGUUUUUCCUCUGUACUGAAAAGUCAUGAAAGAUACAAAUGCAUCAGUUGUCUGUCUUUUGCUGAUCAGAAAUAAAAUAUUUAUCAUAUCUGGC